ensembl:lncRNA
CGUCGUCAUAUAGAUAUAAUAUAUUUCACUCUCACCACAUAAAUACAAAACAUCCAAAUAUCCAAAACAUUCAGAACAAAAGUUAGUAGCAAGGGCUCAGCGCUCGGUUCGUUCCGUAUUUCCCGACUAGUUGCCUAGAGACUCCCGACGUCAAUAAUUUACAAUAAAAUUACUAUUUUCUUUCUGUCCAGCUCCUUCUGUCCACUUCUGGUCUAUUAUUAAUUCUAUGCACUACAGAAACCGUUCCACUCGUUGUCAGUCUGUUUGUUUUUUUUUUGGUUACAGUUUGGUGGCACGCAUUUAUACAGUUUGUAAACGCCAUGUGUUAAAGUUUAGAGAAAGAAACUUCAAACCGAAGCAAAGAAAUAUUAUUAUUAUUAUUAUUAUUAUUUCCCGAAGAAGGAAGUAAAUACAGAAUCCCUUUUCUGGCAAAUUCAAGUACUGAAAUCGAACGGGAGAUCGAUGCGGGACGUGGCCGGUGGGUACACGCGGUGGUGGAGAAAACAGCAGCGGGAAGCGGUGGGGAUAAGGCCGUUACAGAGAUGGGUCUUAAGGUACAAAAAUAACAACGAAAGAUGCGCUUUGUAUAUUUUACGUUCGUUUUAAUUGGAGUGUGAGCGAUAUCCGAGAGGGUUAUUUAGGAGGAAGAAGGCUGACGGCUUUGUGAUGCGCACUGGAAUUGCGUGAGAAAAGAAAAAAAAUCAAAUCAAACGGAAGGAAAAAAAACGGAUCUGGGUGCAAAUCGAGUCGCGAUUCCGUUCUCUCUCUGCGGACUCGUUUAGCAGAGCGGGGCGGAAGGCAAAAAGGGCGUUGCUGCAACCCGGGGGCUGAGCGCGGCUCGGGCACGGCGCGGUGCUGCGUCCCGCCGGGCUCGGAGCGCUCCGUCCGCAGCGGGGAUCGGCCGUGGAGCGGAACGGCCGCCGGGAAGGGCCCGGCUGCGGCCAGGGCCGGGCAGCGGGGCCGUGAGGGGGUGUGUAAAGCCAAACCUUUGUGCUUAAGUCACUGGAGUCCGGGGAGGGGGGGAG